rnacentral:rRNA from 1 species
GUUGGGUAGGGGAGCGUUCUGUAAGCCUGUGAAGGUGUGCUGUGAGGCAUGCUGGAGGUAUCAGAAGUGCGAAUGCUGACAUAAGUAACGAUAAUGCGGGUGAAAAACCCGCACGCCGGAAGACCAAGGGUUCCUGUCCAACGUUAAUCGGGGCAGGGUGAGUCGACCCCUAAGGCGAGGCAGAAAUGCGUAGUCGAUGGGAAACGGGUUAAUAUUCCCGUACUGGUGAUAAUUGCGAUGGGGGGACGGAGAAGGCUAGGCUAUCCGGGCGACGGUUGUCCCGGUUUAAGGAUGUAGGCAGGUGAAUUAGGCAAAUCCGGUUCACUAUAUGCUGAGGUCCGAUGACGAGUCACUACGGUGAUGAAGUAGCUCAUGCCCCGCUUCCAGGAAAAGCCUCUAAGCUCUAGAUUAUCAUUAAUCGUACCCCAAACCGACACAGGUGGUCAGGUAGAGAAUACUCAGGCGCUUGAGAGAACUCGGGUGAAGGAACUAGGCAAAAUGGUGCCGUAACUUCGGGAGAAGGCACGCUGGCAUUAGGUGAAGUGAUUUACUCAUGGAGCUGAAGCCAGUCGCAGAUACCAGCUGGCUGCAACUGUUUAUUAAAAACACAGCACUGUGCAAACACGAAAGUGGACGUAUACGGUGUGACGCCUGCCCGGUGCUGGAAGGUUAAUUGAUGGGGUUAUCCGUAAGGAGAAGCUCUUGAUCGAAGCCCCAGUAAACGGCGGCCGUAACUAUAACGGUCCUAAGGUAGCGAAAUUCCUUGUCGGGUAAGUUCCGACCUGCACGAAUGGCGUAAUGAUGGCCAGGCUGUCUCCACCCGAGACUCAGUGAAAUUGAACUCGCUGUGAAGAUGCAGUGUACCCGCGGCAAGACGGAAAGACCCCGUGAACCUUUACUAUAGCUUGACACUGAACAUUGAGCCUUGAUGUGUAGGAUAGGUGGGAGGCUUYGAAGCGUGGACGCCAGUCUGCGUGGAGCCAACCUUGAAAUACCACCCUUUAAUGUUUGAUGUUCUAACGUUGCCCCAUUAUCUGGGGUGCGGACAGUGUCUGGUGGGUAGUUUGACUGGGGCGGUCUCCUCCCAAAGAGUAACGGAGGAGCACGAAGGUUGGCUAAGCAUGGUCGGACAUCAUGCGGUUAGUGCAAAGGCAUAAGCCAGCUUGACUGCGAGAGUGACGGCUCGAGCAGGUACGAAAGUAGGUCUUAGUGAUCCGGUGGUUCUGAAUGGAAGGGCCAUCGCUCAACGGAUAAAAGGUACUCCGGGGAUAACAGGCUGAUACCGCCCAAGAGUUCAUAUCGACGGCGGUGUUUGGCACCUCGAUGUCGGCUCAUCACAUCCUGGGGCUGAAGUAGGUCCCAAGGGUACGGCUGUUCGCCGUUUAAAGUGGUACGCGAGCUGGGUUUAGAACGUCGUGAGACAGUUCGGUCCCUAUCUGCCGUGGGCGUUGGAAGAUUGAAAGGGGCUGCUCCUAGUACGAGAGGACCGGAGUGGACGCACCACUGGUGUUCGGGUUGUCAUGCCAAUGGCAUUGCCCGGUAGCUAAGUGCGGAAGAGAUAACCGCUGAAAGCAUCUAAGCGGGAAACUUGCCUUGAGAUGAGUCUUCCCUGACUCUUUAAGGGUCCUAAAGGAACGUUUAAGACUAAGACGUUGAUAGGUUGGGUGUGUAAGCGUAGCGAUACGUUGAGCUAACCAAUACUAAUGAACCGUGAGGCUUAACCUG